UACCUACUAGCCUACGACGGGUACGGGUUGUGAGAGCAAGAGCCCGGAGAUGGAUUCUGAGACAUGAAUCCAGGCCCUACGGGGCGCAGCAGGCGCGAAAACUUUACAAUGCGGGAAACCGUGAUAAGGGGACACCGAGUGCCAGCAUCCUAUGCUGGCUGUCCGGGUGUGUAAAAUACACCUGUCAGCAAGGGCCGGGCAAGACCGGUGCCAGCCGCCGCGGUAACACCGGCGGCCCGAGUGGUGAUCGUGAUUAUUGGGUCUAAAGGGUCCGUAGCCGGUUUGGUCAGUCCUCCGGGAAAUCUGACAGCUCAACUGUUGGGCUUUCGGAGGAUACUGCCAGACUUGGAACCGGGAGAGGUAAGAGGUACUACAGGGGUAGGAGUGAAAUCUUGUAAUCCCUGUGGGACCACCUGUGGCGAAGGCGUCUUACCAGAACGGGUUCGACGGUGAGGGACGAAAGCUGGGGGCACGAACCGGAUUAGAUACCCGGGUAGUCCCAGCCGUAAACGAUGCUCGCUAGGUGUCAGGCAUGGCGCGACCGUGUCUGGUGCCGCAGGGAAGCCGUGAAGCGAGCCACCUGGGAAGUACGGCCGCAAGGCUGAAACUUAA
rnacentral:rRNA from 1 species